GUCCACGCCCUAAACUAUGUCAACUGGUUGUUGGGAAGGUUCCUUCUCAGUAACCGUAGCUAACGCGUGAAGUUGACCGCCUUGGUAGUACGGCCGCAAGGUUGAAACUCAAAGGAAUUGACGGGACCCGCACAAGCGGUGGAUGAUGUGGUUUAAUUCGAUGCAACGCGAAAAACCUUACCUACCCUUGACAUGUCAAGAAUCUUGCAGAGAUGUGAGAGUGCUCGAAAGAGAACUUGAACACAGGUGCUGCAUGGCCGUCGU
rnacentral:rRNA from 1 species